rnacentral:misc_RNA from 1 species
UCCAAGAAACUGUUAGAUUUGUUUUGUAGUCAAAUUCUUAUCUGGAAACUUUAAUAACUCCUAAGCGUGGAGUCCAGGAUGGUAUUUUUCACUUUCAAAUUGCAUUCCUAGAAAUUCAAUAUUAGUCCGAGCCAACUGACUCUUUUUUUGAGAUAACAUGAUCCCAUACUUCUGGACUAAAGCUUAGAACUGAGCCAAAAGUUUCUUAUGGGUUGAGACAUCUUUUGAGAAUAAUAGGAUGUCAUCAAUAUAGUUGCAAGGAUAUACAGAGCAUAUGAAGAGACUCUUGGUCGGGACGACAAAUAACAACAUGAUCUUGAAGGCGAUAAAUGAUUUGGUAGUGUAGAGUUGCUGCCAUGGAUAAUAUUGUUCAGCUCGAACUAAUUGAACUUAAAGUUUUAGGGCUGUGGGAAGAUUUGGAUCAAGAUGGAUCGGAUUGUGUUCGGAUAAAAUGCAUCUCUACAGUAAGACCAAAAAAAAACUAUGCAUUCGCUUAGUGCCAAGAGAAACUGCUGCUUACAAUGGCCAAAAGCCUAAUCUAACUGCUAAUUCAAGGCAAUCCAUACUACAAACAUAAACUUCAAAUUUACUUAUAACCCAAAUCAGCAUAUCUAAGAAGUAGCUUAUUUUCUGAUGAUUACAAGAGCAAGUAAAUGAUACACACAAAAAAUUCAAGAACAUUAAUAUUCUAAUCCUAAAAAGAAUCCACGAAAACAUACUGUAAUAGAAAGAAUUCAAAGCUUUUCAGCUACAGUUUCAACCAGACCCAAAGCAUUCAUUGCUCACAGGAAGAUUAAAAAAUGAUAAUAAGAGCUUGAUCACAGAACUUUCCUUAACUUGAAACGAAAUGCCUCAUACCAACAGCACCAUUUGUAUCUUAAACCCAAAAGAGAAAAUAGGAAAAGUUUAUACCGUGCAAGCCGUAAAUGACAAGAGAAAAAGCUUGGUCAUUAAAACUGAGCUUGAUAGACGGCUGAAUAAACGAGGGAACAAUGAGAUUUCCAGCUUGCACAGCCAUCCUCGCUAAUUCAUCUUCACCAACACUUCCGUUUGAAUUCCCACCCAAUUCCGUGGUGGAAAGUGAGGAUAGUUGAUAGAUGGAAUUGGAUUGUUUGGUGGGAUAUGAGAUGCAAAUAGGAAGGAAACGAGAAGGUUUGGAAGAGUGAUGUAUUACGGAAAGGAAGCAAUUAGAGAGUGGAUUUGAGGGUCUGGGAAAGGGAAUUGAAUUCCUUGAAGUUACUGAAUUCAAAGCCCGAAAAGAAUUGAGAGUCG